rnacentral:rRNA from 1 species
AAAUUGAAGAGUUUGAUCAUGGCUCAGAUUGAACGCUGGCGGCAGGCCUAACACAUGCAAGUCGAACGGUAACAGGAAGAAGCUUGCUUCUUUGCUGACGAGUGGCGGACGGGUGAGUAAUGUCUGGGAAACUGCCUGAUGGAGGGGGAUAACUACUGGAAACGGUAGCUAAUACCGCAUAAUGUCGCAAGACCAAAGAGGGGGACCUUCGGGCCUCUUGCCAUCGGAUGUGCCCAGAUGGGAUUAGCUAGUAGGUGGGGUAAAGGCUCACCUAGGCGACGAUCCCUAGCUGGUCUGAGAGGAUGACCAGCCACACUGGAACUGAGACACGGUCCAGACUCCUACGGGAGGCAGCAGUGGGGAAUAUUGCACAAUGGGCGCAAGCCUGAUGCAGCCAUGCCGCGUGUAUGAAGAAGGCCUUCGGGUUGUAAAGUACUUUCAGCGGGGAGGAAGGGAGUAAAGUUAAUACCUUUGCUCAUUGACGUUACCCGCAGAAGAAGCACCGGCUAACUCCGUGCCAGCAGCCGCGGUAAUACGGAGGGUGCAAGCGUUAAUCGGAAUUACUGGGCGUAAAGCGCACGCAGGCGGUUUGUUAAGUCAGAUGUGAAAUCCCCGGGCUCAACCUGGGAACUGCAUCUGAUACUGGCAAGCUUGAGUCUCGUAGAGGGGGGUAGAAUUCCAGGUGUAGCGGUGAAAUGCGUAGAGAUCUGGAGGAAUACCGGUGGCGAAGGCGGCCCCCUGGACGAAGACUGACGCUCAGGUGCGAAAGCGUGGGGAGCAAACAGGAUUAGAUACCCUGGUAGUCCACGCCGUAAACGAUGUCGACUUGGAGGUUGUGCCCUUGAGGCGUGGCUUCCGGAGCUAACGCGUUAAGUCGACCGCCUGGGGAGUACGGCCGCAAGGUUAAAACUCAAAUGAAUUGACGGGGGCCCGCACAAGCGGUGGAGCAUGUGGUUUAAUUCGAUGCAACGCGAAGAACCUUACCUGGUCUUGACAUCCACGGAAGUUUUCAGAGAUGAGAAUGUGCCUUCGGGAACCGUGAGACAGGUGCUGCAUGGCUGUCGUCAGCUCGUGUUGUGAAAUGUUGGGUUAAGUCCCGCAACGAGCGCAACCCUUAUCCUUUGUUGCCAGCGGUCCGGCCGGGAACUCAAAGGAGACUGCCAGUGAUAAACUGGAGGAAGGUGGGGAUGACGUCAAGUCAUCAUGGCCCUUACGACCAGGGCUACACACGUGCUACAAUGGCGCAUACAAAGAGAAGCGACCUCGCGAGAGCAAGCGGACCUCAUAAAGUGCGUCGUAGUCCGGAUUGGAGUCUGCAACUCGACUCCAUGAAGUCGGAAUCGCUAGUAAUCGUGGAUCAGAAUGCCACGGUGAAUACGUUCCCGGGCCUUGUACACACCGCCCGUCACACCAUGGGAGUGGGUUGCAAAAGAAGUAGGUAGCUUAACCUUCGGGAGGGCGCUUACCACUUUGUGAUUCAUGACUGGGGUGAAGUCGUAACAAGGUAACCGUAGGGGAACCUGCGGUUGGAUCACCUCCUUA